rnacentral:rRNA from 1 species
UACGAAGGGGGCUAGCGUUGCUCGGAAUCACUGGGCGUAAAGGGCGCGUAGGCGGACUCUUAAGUCGGGGGUGAAAGCCCAGGGCUCAACCCUGGAAUUGCCUUCGAUACUGAGAGUCUUGAGUUCGGAAGAGGUUGGUGGAACUGCGAGUGUAGAGGUGAAAUUCGUAGAUAUUCGCAAGAACACCAGUGGCGAAGGCGACUUGCUGGGUUGCACCUGACGCUGAGAUGCGAAAGUGUGGGGAGCAAACGGG